rnacentral:rRNA from 1 species
GUGGCUAUACUACCCUGAAUGCGCCCAAUCUCAUGUGAUCUCGAAAGCUAAGCAGGGUCAGGCCUGGUUCGUACUUCAAUGGGAGAUGCUGGGGUGAUCCUUUGGAAGUGUUCAACC